rfam:Rattus norvegicus chromosome 13, whole genome shotgun sequence.
GGGGACUUAGCUCAGUGGUAGAGCGCUUGCCUAGCAAGCGCAAGGCCCUGGGUUCAGUCCUCA